ACUGCUCAGUAACACGUAGUCAAUCUAACCUAUGGACGGGGAUAACCUCGGGAAACUGAGGAUAAACCCCGAUAGAUCAUUAUACCUGGAACGGUUUAUGGUCCAAAUGAUUCGUCGCCGUAGGAUGGGACUGCGGCCUAUCAGCCUGUUGGUGAGGUAAUGGCCCACCAAGGCUAUUACAGGUACGGGCUCUGAGAGGAGAAGCCCGGAGAUGGGUACUGAGACACGGACCCAGGCCCUAUGGGGCGCAGCAGGCGAGAAAACUUUGCAAUGUGCGCAAGCACGACAAGGUUAAUCCGAGUGAUUCCUGCUAAAGGAAUCUUUUGCUAGUCCUAAAAACACUAGCGAAUAAGGGGUGGGCAAGUUCUGGUGUCAGCCGCCGCGGUAAAACCAGCACCUCAAGUGGUCAGGAGGAUUAUUGGGCCUAAAGCAUCCGUAGCCUGCUCUGUAAGUUUCCGGUUAAAUCCAUUAGCUCAACUGAUGGGCCGCCGGAAAAACUGCAAAGCUAGGGAGUGGGAGAGGUAGACGGUACUCGGUAGGAAGGGGUAAAAUCCUUUGAUCUAUUGAUGACCACCUGUGGCGAAGGCGGUCUACCAGAACACGUUCGACGGUGAGGGAUGAAAGCUGGGGGAGCAAACCGGAUUAGAUACCCGGGUAGUCCCAGCUGUAAACGAUGCAGACUCGGUGAUGCCCUGACUUGUGGCCCAGUGCAGUGCCGCAGGAAGCCGUUAAGUUUGCCGCCUGGGAAAGUACGUACGCAAGUAUGAAACUUAAAGGAAUUGGCGGGGGGAGCACCACAAGGGGUGAACGCAAGUAUGAAACUUAAAGGAACGCAAGUAUGA
rnacentral:rRNA from 1 species